GCCUUCGUGGUGUAAUGGUCAGCACGUCCGGCGCGUAUUCGAGAGGUCCGAGGUUCGAGUCCCGGCGAGGGCA
rnacentral:tRNA from 1 species